GCGAUCUGCAGGUUGUCGAGGAUGGAGGUACUGACACCGCGGCUACCUAGGCAUUGACGAGAUCUUGGAGUAGUGGGAUGUUUCUGAGUCAUCCGGAGUCACCGCCUAUGACCUCUGUCUCCACGGAUCAGUUAAGUGAACAUCAGAUUGUUGUGGUCUGCCUGUCGUGGUGAUGUCUGCCCUACAGAGCUCACAGUAGAGGUUGUGGCACUCCUCUCUUCGGGCAGUUUGUUUCAUCUUAUACCUCCAAGAUCCCCCUUGCUCAUUUGUGUAAAGUUUGUCAUCUGGUUCCCUCCACCAAUUUGUAAUUUUUUAAUUUUAUUUCAAAUGACACACUGCUCCUUUAGUAUGCCUGAAAGCAGAGUCCUGGGACCCAGUGGCAGGAAGCGUCGAGUACUGCCACACCUGCUGGGAAGCACAGUCGUGGUGCACCCUGCCCGCUGGGACACCUGAGAGAUGAAAUAGCAAUAUAAGAUUUACGAACACACCAGCUCCCUGAGGAACCUAUCUUGACCAGAAGGCCACCCACUGCAGGGUUCCAUUUUUAAUUCACUUGUUGCAAGUUAGGCGGGGUUCCCACUCUUCUGUUUUGAUGGAUCUGUCGACGUUAAUGACAUCCACUUGACACGGAUGAUCCACUCCGUCAGUCCAUUGCUCAUCAUUUCUUGACUAAACAUAUGGACAUCAUUAACCACAAUGACUUCUUGUAUAUGUUAUUUUGUAGCUAAGUACUUCUAUUUCAUAUUUUCAUAUGUAGAAUAUUCAGAAUCACUGGACUGGCACCCCAACCCCAGAACCAAAAGUUAACUAGUUUAUCUCUGGACGGGCUCCAUUGAUGACGUCACUGAUGGUCGACGGAUCCAUGAAAACGGAACAGUGAGAACCCCGCCUUGCUUGGUACUGUCUCUGAAGUGUCUUGAACAAUAAACAUUUGAAGGGAACA